rnacentral:piRNA from 1 species
AAUAGGACAUUUUGGUGAGGCAAG